GUGGGGAAUAUUGGACAAUGGGCGCAAGCCUGAUCCAGCCAUGCCGCGUGAGUGAUGAAGGCCUUAGGGUUGUAAAGCUCUUUCGUCAGGGAAGAUAAUGACGGUACCUGAAGAAGAAGCCCCGGCUAACUUCGUGCCAGCAGCCGCGGUAAUACGAAGGGGGCUAGCGUUGCUCGGAAUCACUGGGCGUAAAGCGCACGUAGGCGGCUUUCUAAGUCAGGGGUGAAAUCCUGGAGCUCAACUCCAGAACUGCCUUUGAUACUGGAGAGCUUGAGUUCGGGAGAGGUGAGUGGAACUGCGAGUGUAGAGGUGAAAUUCGUAGAUAUUCGCAAGAACACCAGUGGCGAAGGCGGCUCACUGGCCCGAUACUGACGCUGAGGUGCGAAAGCGUGGGGAGCAAACAGGAUUAGAAACCCGUGUAGUCC
rnacentral:rRNA from 1 species